rnacentral:rRNA from 1 species
CACGUAGGGGGGCGAGCGUUUGUCCGGAUUUAUUGGGCGUAAAGAGCUCGUAGGCGGUUCAGUAAGUCGGGUGUGAAACCCCCGGGCUCAACCCGGGGACGCCACCCGAUACUGCUGUGACUGGAGUCCGGUAGGGGAGCGUGGAAUUCCUGGUGUAGCGGUGAAAUGCGCAGAUAUCAGGAGGAACACCAGCGGCGAAGGCGGCGCUCUGGACCGGUACUGACGCUGAGGAGCGAAAGCGUGGGGAGCGAACAGG